AGGAGUUGACGAAAAGAAACAGGCAUUCGCCUACCUGUUUUCUCGCUCUCGUUAACUUUAAAUUUGAUAAGCUGUGAUAGCUGUGGCAACGUAGAUGAUGUGUUAGUGCCUUCUGAUCGGUGUGGGUGAACAUGCUGUAUAUCGGGCAUCAUAAGUGGUCGCCUCGUAUGGUCAAUCUCGUGUUACGUCUGGGCUGACUUGAACAACAACACACCGCACAUCGGGUGACACACUUUAAGGUGUAAAUAGCGAUUAGAUCUAAUUGUUGAUAUUGUUGCUUGAAGUAUAAUCCACCAUGGAUGGUCGAUUAUUUCCAUCGACAUCGAUUCGAUCUGAAUGGAAGCAACACGAUGAAAUUACAAAGCAGAACGAGAAGGUUGGCAGACCGGUAUCACGCAAAACAUCCUGCCAGAACGGAGUGAAGAGAACCCGGGACCCUCUAUUGAAGCCAAAAAACAGGUUAAGUGGUUACACUGUUCUUCGUUAAAGGAUAUUGUAGAUGGCGUUUAAUUCUGAAUCCUUUUCAACCACGC